rnacentral:rRNA from 1 species
UACGGGGGGAGCAAGCGUUGUUCGGAUUUACUGGGCGUAAAGGGCGCGUAGGCGGCCACCGCAAGUCGAUUGUGAAAUCUCCGGGCUUAACCCGGAAAGGUCAACCGAUACUGCGGGGCUAGAGUGCAGAAGGGGCAACUGGAAUUCUCGGUGUAGCGGUGAAAUGCGUAGAUAUGACAUAGAACACCUAUUGCGAAGGCAGCUUACUACGCAUAUAUUGACGCUGAGGCACGAAAGCGUGGGGAUCAAACAGG